CAGAGCCUGUGAAGAGGAGAAGCAGCUUCCUUCAGUGCACUUGGACACUGUGCCCCCAACACCUGGAGAAGGAAGGUAGAGAGCCAUAUCACUAGAAGCCCCCAGGAAAUGCUGCAUGAUUCAAGAGUCCAAAGCUCUGCUAUGCACAUUCAGACAAUGGACAGGAGACUACAGCAUGUGACAGGUAUGGAAAUAGGAGGUUUCUUAGCCAACUAUUGCUUCCCUGGAAUACCCAAAGGAGACAAUCUCCGAAAGUGAAAGCAGCAAUUUUUCCCAAUGGCCCAUUCAGCUUUGGAUUCAGCCCUAGAGAUGCCUCACCUUCCCACUUCCUGGAAUGGAAUCCAGAGGCCAACAUCUGGAACAUAACAGAACCAUAAAACUGAUCAUCCGCUUGUGCUGCUGCUCCUGAAAAGCCUACACACAGAUGGAAUUCCUCAGUCUACAGUGAAGAAGAAAACCAGAAUAUUCAAAUCUGCAAAGCAGCCAAGUACAUCUGGUGGUUUCCUGAUACCUGUACCCAGCCAUAACUGGCCACCCUGCCCCACGAGUUGUUUAGGCUGAGUGGGUGGUGCAAUAAGUGUGUGGCUGUUUUAAAAUAUUAUAUUACUGAUGAUUAUAUUAUGCUGCUAAAUUUUAUUCUAUAUUUUAUUGUAUAUUUUAUAAUGUUGUAAUCCGC